rfam:Methanosarcina acetivorans str. C2A, complete genome.
UACCUUCUCCAUUUGAGGUAAUCCUAUUGGGACAUGCAUAAAUGGUAACGUUUGUGUUUGAAGCUCACAUGACAAUAUCAAGACUCAAGGGCAAAGUAUUAGGCUGUUGGUGCAAACCUUAUGCAUGUCACGGG